rnacentral:tRNA from 1 species
UCCUCUCUAGCUUAAAUUAAAAGCGUUAGUUUGAAGAGCUAAAGUUACUAUACUUUGUGGGAGGAG